rnacentral:lncRNA from 10 species
AGAGAGAGACUCCGUCUCAAAGAAAAAAAAAAAAAGAGAUUCAGGAAAGGAGACGUAGCGUGACUCAGCAUCCCGCGCCCAGGUAUUUACCCAGAAGAGAUGAAACACGUCCGCAGGAAGACUCGCCUCAAACCUUUGUAGCAGCAGCGUUCGCAAAGCUGAGAAAACCAAGUAUCCAUCAGCUGGCGAGUGGAUAAGCGAACAGUGGCUCAUCCCUACGGUGGGAAGACAAGGCCGCCGCUACGGGGUGAAUCCCAAAAACAGGAUGCUAAGUGAGAGAAGCCACACACAAAAGACCACGUGCUUAGGGCCUCCUUUACGUGAAAUCCUAGCAAAGGCCAAACUAUCCUUACAGAAAGCAGAUGCGUGGUCGGUCGGCGGGGCAGGGGACCCGGCGGCAGCGGAGGUGGUUUCCUGCUUUCCCUUUGUCCAGGCUCUUCAAGUAGGAUGCUUAAAAUUGGUAAAUAUCGUUGUAUGUAAAAUUAUGCUUCAAUAAAACUCAAUUUUUAUUUUUAUUUUAUUUAUUUUUAUUUUUAUUUUUAUUUUUGAGACGGAGUCUCGCUCUGCCGCCCAGGCUGGAGUGCAGUGGCGCGAUCUCGACUCACCGCAAGCUCUGCC